ACGCUAGCUACAGGCUUAACACAUGCAAGUCGUGGGGCAGCGGAUGCUUAGCUUGCUAAGUAUGCCGGCGACCGGCGCACGGGUGAGUAACGCGUACCGAACCUGCCCAUCACACAGGGAUAGGCUUGCGAAAGCAAGAUUAAUACCUGAUGGUCUCAGUUGUAUGCAUGUAUGAUUGAGUAAAGCCUUCGGGCGGUGAUGGAUGGCGGUGCGUCCCAUUAGGAAGUUGGCGGGGUAACGGCCCACCAAUCCUUCGAUGGGUAGGGGUUCUGAGAGGAAGGUCCCCCACAUUGGAACUGAGAUACGGUCCAAACUCCUACGGGAGGCAGCAGUGAGGAAUAUUGGUCAAUGGGCGGGAGCCUGAACCAGCCAAGUAGCGUGCGGGAUGAAGGCCCUUGUGGUCGUAAACCGCUUUUAUCAGUGAAUAAAGUGCACCACGUGUGGUGUCAUUGCAGGUAGCUGAAGAAAAAGGACCGGCUAAUUCCGUGCCAGCAGCCGCGGUAAUACGGAAGGUCCGGGCGUUAUCCGGAAUUAUUGGGUUUAAAGGGAGCGCAGGCGGGAGUGUAAGUCAGCUGUUAAAUAUCAGGGCCCAACUCUGUUAUGCAGUUGAAACUAUAUUUCUUGAGUACGCACAGGGAUGGCGGAAUUCAGGGUGUAGCGGUGAAAUGCUUAGAUAUCCUGAAGAACUCCGAUCGCGAAGGCAGCCAUCCGGAGCGUAACUGACGCUGAGGCUCGAAGGUGCGGGUAUCGAACAGGAUUAGAUACCCUGGUAGUCCGCACGGUAAACGAUGAAUACUCGCAGUUCGGUCAUUAAGAUUGAGUUGUCCAGCGAAAGCGUUAAGUAUUCCACCUGGGGAGUACGCCGGCAACGGUGAAACUCAAAGGAAUAGACGGGGGCCCGC
rnacentral:rRNA from 1 species